GACGAACGCUGGCGGCGUGCGUAAUACAUGCAAGUCGAACGCUUCUUUUUCCACCGGAGCUUGCUCCACCGGAAAAAGAAGAGUGGCGAACGGGUGAGUAACACGUGGGUAACCUGCCCAUCAGAAGGGGAUAACACUUGGAAACAGGUGCUAAUACCGUAUAACAAUCAAAACCGCAUGGUUUUGAUUUGAAAGGCGCUUUCGGGUGUCGCUGAUGGAUGGACCCGCGGUGCAUUAGCUAGUUGGUGAGGUAACGGCUCACCAAGGCCACGAUGCAUAGCCGACCUGAGAGGGUGAUCGGCCACAUUGGGACUGAGACACGGCCCAAACUCCUACGGGAGGCAGCAGUAGGGAAUCUUCGGCAAUGGACGAAAGUCUGACCGAGCAACGCCGCGUGAGUGAAGAAGGUUUUCGGAUCGUAAAACUCUGUUGUUAGAGAAGAACAAGGAUGAGAGUAACUGUUCAUCCCUUGACGGUAUCUAACCAGAAAGCCACGGCUAACUACGUGCCAGCAGCCGCGGUAAUACGUAGGUGGCAAGCGUUGUCCGGAUUUAUUGGGCGUAAAGCGAGCGCAGGCGGUUUCUUAAGUCUGAUGUGAAAGCCCCCGGCUCAACCGGGGAGGGUCAUUGGAAACUGGGAGACUUGAGUGCAGAAGAGGAGAGUGGAAUUCCAUGUGUAGCGGUGAAAUGCGUAGAUAUAUGGAGGAACACCAGUGGCGAAGGCGGCUCUCUGGUCUGUAACUGACGCUGAGGCUCGAAAGCGUGGGGAGCAAACAGGAU
rnacentral:rRNA from 1 species